UACAGAGGUCCCAAGCGUUGUUCGGAUUCACUGGGCGUAAAGGGUGCGUAGGUGGUCAGGUAAGUCUGAUGUGAAAUCCCGCAGCUCAACUGCGGAAUGGCAUUGGAUACUAUUUGGCUAGAGGGUUGGAGGGGGGGCUGGAAUUCUCGGUGUAGCAGUGAAAUGCGUAGAUAUCGAGAGGAACACCAGUGGCGAAAGCGAGUCCCUGGACAACUCCUGACGCUGAGGCACGAAAGCUAGGGGAGCAAACAGG
rnacentral:rRNA from 1 species